rnacentral:rRNA from 1 species
UUCUAGUUCUAAAGAACGGCGGACGGGUGAGUAAUGCCUAGGAAUCUGCCUGGUAGUGGGGGAUAACGCUCGGAAACGGACGCUAAUACCGCAUACGUCCUACGGGAGAAAGCAGGGGACCUUCGGGCCUUGCGCUAUCAGAUGAGCCUAGGUCGGAUUAGCUAGUUGGUGAGGUAAUGGCUCACCAAGGCGACGAUCCGUAACUGGUCUGAGAGGAUGAUCAGUCACACUGGAACUGAGACACGGUCCAGACUCCUACGGGAGGCAGCAGUGGGGAAUAUUGGACAAUGGGCGAAAGCCUGAUCCAGCCAUGCCGCGUGUGUGAAGAAGGUCUUCGGAUUGUAAAGCACUUUAAGUUGGGAGGAAGGGCAUUAACCUAAUACGUUAGUGUUUUGACGUUACCGACAGAAUAAGCACCGGCUAACUCUGUGCCAGCAGCCGCGGUAAUACAGAGGGUGCAAGCGUUAAUCGGAAUUACUGGGCGUAAAGCGCGCGUAGGUGGUUCGUUAAGUUGGAUGUGAAAGCCCCGGGCUCAACCUGGGAACUGCAUUCAAAACUGUCGAGCUAGAGUAUGGUAGAGGGUGGUGGAAUUUCCUGUGUAGCGGUGAAAUGCGUAGAUAUAGGAAGGAACACCAGUGGCGAAGGCGACCACCUGGACUGAUACUGACACUGAGGUGCGAAAGCGUGGGGAGCAAACAGGAUUAGAUACCCUGGUAGUCCACGCCGUAAACGAUGUCAACUAGCCGUUGGGAGCCUUGAGCUCUUAGUGGCGCAGCUAACGCAUUAAGUUGACCGCCUGGGGAGUACGGCCGCAAGGUUAAAACUCAAAUGAAUUGACGGGGGCCCGCACAAGCGGUGGAGCAUGUGGUUUAUUUCAGAGCAACGCAAAGAACCUUACCAGGCCUUGGACUUCAAUGAACUUUCCAAAGAUGGAUUGGUGCCUUCGGGAACAUGGAGAACAGGUGCUGCAUGGCUUU